rnacentral:rRNA from 1 species
UACGGGGGGAGCAAGCGUUGUUCGGAUUUACUGGGCGUAAAGGGCGCGUAGGCGGUCAGCACAAGUCAGUUGUGAAAUCUCCGGGCUUAACUCGGAAAGGUCAACUGAUACUGUGCGACUAGAGUGCAGAAGGGGCAACUGGAAUUCUCGGUGUAGCGGUGAAAUGCGUAGAUAUCGAGAGGAACACCUGGCGGCGAAGGCGGGUUGCUGGGCUGACACUGACGCUGAUGCGCGAAAGCCAGGGGAGGCGAACGGG